UACAGAGGUCCCAAGCGUUGUUCGGAUUCACUGGGCGUGAAGGGUGCGUAGGCGGUCGGGUAAGUCUGAUGUGAAAUCUCACAGCUUAACUGUGAAACUGCAUUGGAUACUAUCCGGCUCGAGGAAUGGAGGGGAGACUGGAAUACUUGGUGUAGCAGUGAAAUGCGUAGAUAUCAAGUGGAACACCAGUGGCGAAGGCGAGUCUCUGGACAUUUCCUGACGCUGAGGCACGAAAGCCAGGGGAGCAAACGGG
rnacentral:rRNA from 1 species